rnacentral:lncRNA from 1 species
AUGCUGUCGAGGAAGGCGCAUCGCGCAUCGGGAGCGGUGUCCUCGAGCUCUGGGACCCCUAGGCUGAGGCUUUGCGGGGUCACAGGGAGGGGAGCUGGGGAUUGCUGAGCGGGUUCUUGGAGUCGCGAGCGCUCCGCAGCUCGCAGAGGGUGCGCGGGCGCGAGUGCCGCCUGGCGACGGAUUCCCGCGCAGGGCCCGGGCUCUCUCCCUGCCCGCCCUCCCUGCCGGCCUUCCCCGCCUCGAGCCGGUGGAUUAGGUCGGCUCCAGGGAACACCCCCCGGGCGACUCUUCCCAGCUCCCGGCUGUGCACCCUCCCAGCGGCUUUGGUUAAGCACUGCUCGCAUCUCUCACUGCGGGAUCUCCCACACCGCGGCCAGCCGGAAUCCUAGAGUGCAAGGACAGAGGAGUGCAGGGGACCCGGCCCGUUUGCAGUGCCGGGAUCUGGGAGCCAGAAGCGAGAGGGACCCAAAUCUCGCAUCUUCCGCAACCCUGGGGCGACCUCCUCCGCUAUCUAUCCAACUCUGCAGACUUGUAAAGAAUGCUGGGGUGGGGUGGGCCAGGACAGGAAAUGAUCGAACAAAUACAAUGUGUAAGUAGAAUGGCAAUCCCAAGAGAUGGUACCUGUGAUAAAAUCAGCAAAAAGAAAACGGGAGUGGCUAUCUGCUUUACAGAAGCCACUUGUCCAUUUUUUCUUAAUGUUGAUUCCAAGACACCACAUCUGAGUUUCUAUGAGCACCUUAAACUCCUCUGAAAUGUUACAGACUUUUCCCCACAGUCAGUUUUUCAGUUUAUCUGGAAUCCCGGCCAUCUGAACAUCCACAAGGUGAGCCGCUGCUGACCUUCAGCAGUUUUAACCUAGUGUCCGCUGCUUCAGGUUAAUUUCCUUCCAAAGUUGAUGGUGCUAUUUUUCUAUGUGGCUGGUUCUUUUCAAAGCAUGCUCAGGCCCGUUGUGUCUGCCUUUGCAUUAAAUUUGUCCUGAGCCAUCACUAUUGGAGAAAUACUUUAUAAUGAUAAUCUUCA